rnacentral:rRNA from 1 species
GAUGAACGCUAGCGGCAGGCUUAAUACAUGCAAGUCGAGGGGCAGCAGGUCUGUAGCAAUACAGAUGCUGGCGACCGGCAAACGGGUGCGUAACACGUACGCAACCUUCCCGUUACUGGGGAAUAGCCCAGGGAAACUUGGAUUAAUACCCCAUAUUAUAUUGGUUGGGCAUCCGACUGAUAUCAAAGUUUUAACGGUAACGGAUGGGCGUGCGGUUGAUUAGGUAGUUGGCGGGGUAACGGCCCACCAAGCCUACGAUCAAUAGCUGAUGUGAGAGCAUGAUCAGCCACACGGGCACUGAGACACGGGCCCGACUCCUACGGGAGGCAGCAGUAAGGAAUAUUGGGCAAUGGACGCAAGUCUGACCCAGCCAUGCCGCGUGAAGGAUGAAGGUCCUCUAGAUUGUAAACUUCUUUUAUCUGGGGCGAAAAUCGGGUAUUCUUAUCCGCUUGACAGUACCAGAGGAAUAAGCACCGGCUAACUCCGUGUCAGCAGCCGCGGUAACAC